GGGGAUGACGUCAAAUCAUCAUGCCCCUUAUGACCUGGGCUACACACGUGCUACAAUGGUUGGUACAACGAGUUGCGAGUCGGUGACGGCGAGCUAAUCUCUUAAAGCCAAUCUCAGUUCGGAUUGUAGGCUGCAACUCGCCUACAUGAAGUCGGAAUCGCUGUAAUCGCGGAUCAGCACGCCGCGGUCGAAUACGUUCCCGGGCCUU
rnacentral:rRNA from 1 species